AGUGAACGCUGGCGGUAGGCCUAACACGUGCAAGUCGAACGGCAGCACAGUAAGAGCUUGCUCUUACGGGUGGCGAGUGGCGGACGGGUGAGGAAUACAUCGGAAUCUACUUUUUCGUGGGGGAUAACGUAGGGAAACUUACGCUAAUACCGCAUACGACCUACGGGUGAAAGCAGGGGAUCUUCGGACCUUGCGCGAUUGAAUGAGCCGAUGUCGGAUUAGCUAGUUGGCGGGGUAAAGGCCCACCAAGGCGACGAUCCGUAGCUGGUCUGAGAGGAUGAUCAGCCACACUGGAACUAAGACACGGUCCAGACUCCUACGGGAGGCAGCAGUGGGGAAUAUUGGACAAUGGGCGCAAGCCUGAUCCAGCCAUACCGCGUGGGUGAAGAAGGCCUUCGGGUUGUAAAGCCCUUUUGUUGGGAAAGAAAAGCAGCAGGUUAAUACCCCGCUGUUCUGACGGUACCCAAAGAAUAAGCACCGGCUAACUUCGUG
rnacentral:rRNA from 1 species